AUAUGAUGUAUGUAUAUCUAAAAGUUUGUUGCCAUAUUUUUCAGUCAGGUUAUGGCAAGGAGGAAAUACCGCUGGCCCUGGGAGAUAUCACUAAACAAAUGACUGCAAUAGAAGAAAUGGUUGCAAGUGAGUACAAUUAGCCAGACCCUUAUCUUUGUGACAAGAUCUUGAAGAUGGUCAUUUGUGAAGCGUUCUAGUUUGCUAUUAGUUGCAAUUUUAGUUACUGCUCUCUCA